GACCAGGUCAGGUCUAAGUUCAAGCAUCCUAUACCGUGGAACUGGCGAAUGGGCUCAUUAAAUCAGUUAUCGUUUAUUUGAUAGUACCUUACUACUUGGAUAACCGUGGUAAUUCUAGAGCUAAUACAUAGCUAAAAACCCCGACUCCGGGAGGGGUGUAUUUAUUAGAUAAAAAACCGAUGCCCUCCGGGGCUCUCUGGUGAUUCAUGAUAACUUAACGAAUCGCAUGGCCUUGUGCCGGCGAUGGUUCAUUCAAAUUUCUGCCCUAUCAACUUUCGAUGGUAGGAUAGUGGCCUACCAUGGUUUCGACGGGUAACGGGGAAUUAGGGUUCUAUUCCGGAGAGGGAGCCUGAGAAACGGCUACCACAUCCAAGGAAGGCAGCAGGCGCGCAAAUUACCCAAUCCCGACACGGGGAGGUAGUGACAAUAAAUACUGAUAUGGAGCUCUUUUGGGUUUCAUAAUUGGAAUGAGUACAAUUUAAAUCCCUUAACGAGGAACAAUUGGAGGGCAAGUCUGGUGCCAGCAGCCGCGGUAAUUCCAGCUCCAAUAGCGUAUAUUAAAGUUGUUGCAGUUAAAAAGCUCGUAGUUGAACCUUGGGCCUGGCUGGCCGGUCCGCCUCACCGCGUGCACUGGUCCGGCCGGGCCUUUCCUUCUGGGGAGCCGCAUGCCCUUCACUGGGUGUGCCGGGGAACCAGGACUUUUACUUUGAAAAAAUUAGAGUGUUCAAAGCAGGCCUAUGCUCGAAUACAUUAGCAUGGAAUAAUAGAAUAGGACGUGUGGUUCUAUUUUGUUGGGUUUCUAGGACCGCCGUACUGAUUAAUAGGGAUAGUCGGGGGCAUCAGUAUUCAAUUGUCAGAGGUGAAAUUCUUGGAUUUAUUGAAGACUAACUACUGAGAAAGCAUCAGCCGAGGAUGUUUUCAUUUAUUCAGUGUACUAAAGCUAAGAGGAGCCGACGACGAUCAGAUACGGUCGUAGUCUGACCAUAACUAUGCUACUAGGGAUCGAGCGAUGUACGAUUAUGAUACCCUCGUUACCUGCCUCAAUCCAAGUACUAGGAUUCAGGUGGGUGGUUCGUGGGCUGGUGGUUAUCUGUCGUAACUGAUAAAAAAAAGCGGGCGAUAUUUGCAGACUAUCAACACAACACAUAACA
rnacentral:rRNA from 1 species